rnacentral:rRNA from 1 species
GACGAACGCUGGCGGCGUGCUUAACACAUGCAAGUCGAACGGAAAGGCCCUGCUUUUGUGGGGUGCUCGAGUGGCGAACGGGUGAGUAACACGUGAGUAACCUGCCCUUGACUUUGGGAUAACUUCAGGAAACUGGGGCUAAUACCGGAUAGGAGCUCCUGCUGCAUGGUGGGGGUUGGAAAGUUUCGGCGGUUGGGGAUGGACUCGCGGCUUAUCAGCUUGUUGGUGGGGUAGUGGCUUACCAAGGCUUUGACGGGUAGCCGGCCUGAGAGGGUGACCGGCCACAUUGGGACUGAGAUACGGCACAGACUCCUACGGGAGGCAGCAGUGGGGAAUAUUGCACAAUGGGCGGAAGCCUGAUGCAGCAACGCCGCGUGGGGGAUGACGGCCUUCGGGUUGUAAACCGCUUUCGCCUGUGACGAAGCGUGAGUGACGGUAAUGGGUAAAGAAGCACCGGCUAACUACGUG